rnacentral:rRNA from 1 species
CACGUAGGGGGCGAGCGUUGUCCGGAUUUAUUGGGCGUAAAGAGCUCGUAGGCGGCUCGGUAAGUCAGGUGUGAAAACUCUAGGCUCAACCUAGAGACGCCACCUGAUACUGCUGUGGCUAGAGUCCGGUAGGGGAGCAUGGAAUUCCUGGUGUAGCGGUGAAAUGCGCAGGUAUCAGGAGGAACACCAGUGGCGAAGGCGGUGCUCUGGGCCGGAACUGACGCUGAGGAGCGAAAGCGUGGGGAGCAAACAGG